AACGCAUCUUGCGCUCCUUGGUAUUCCGAGGAGCAUGCCUGUUUGAGUGUCAUGAAUCCAUCAAACAACAAUUGUUUUUUUAUUUUUAUUUUUAAACAAUUGACUGUUUGGACGUUGGAUGCUUGCUGGAUAGUUAUAUGUUACCCGGCUCAUCUGAAAUAUAUUAGCUGAUCUUAAUAUCAUGGAUUUAUCCACUUGGCGUGAUAAGUAUCACCCGCUGAGGACUUGUCCAGAGAUAAUGGAUUGCUUCUAAUCCUAGAUACUAUUGUAUCGUAUUGAAUCAUCUGACCUCAAAUCAGGUAGGACUACCCGCUGAACUUAA
rnacentral:misc_RNA from 1 species